rnacentral:rRNA from 1 species
UGCGUGACCGACCUGCCCCAUGCACCGGAAUAGCUCCUGGAAACGGGUGGUAAUGCCGGAUGUUCCACAUGAGCGCAUGCGAGUGUGGGAAAGGCUUUUUGCGGCAUGGGAUGGGGUCGCGUCCUAUCAGCUUGUUGGUGGGGUAACGGCCUACCAAGGCGUUGACGGGUAGCCGGCCUGAGAGGGCGACCGGCCACAUUGGGACUGAGAUACGGCCCAGACUCCUACGGGAGGCAGCAGUGGGGAAUAUUGCACAAUGGGCGCAAGCCUGAUGCAGCGACGCCGCGUGCGGGAUGGAGGCCUUCGGGUUGUAAACCGCUUUUGUUCAAGGGCAAGGCACGGUUUCGGCCGUGUUGAGUGGAUUGUUCGAAUAAGCACCGGCUAACUACGUGCCAGCAGCCGCGGUAAUACGUAGGGUGCAAGCGUUAUCCGGAUUUAUUGGGCGUAAAGGGCUCGUAGGCGGUUCGUCGCGUCCGGUGUGAAAGUCCAUCGCUUAACGGUGGAUCCGCGCCGGGUACGGGCGGGCUUGAGUGCGGUAGGGGAGACUGGAAUUCCCGGUGUAACGGUGGAAUGUGUA